UUGGAGGGCAAGUCUGGUGCCAGCAGCCGCGGUAAUUCCAGCUCCAAUAGCGUAUAUUAAAGUUGUUGCAGUUAAAAAGCUCGUAGUUGAAUUUCGGGGUCAGUAGGCUGGUCGUGCCACAGGUAUGUACUGGUCUCACUGAUUCCUCCUUCCUGAUGAACCGUAAUGCCAUUAAUUUGGUGUUGCGGGGAAUCUGGACUGUUACUUUGAAAAAAUUAGAGUGUUUAAAGCAGGCUAACGCUUGAAUACAUUAGCAUGGAAUAAUGAAAUAGGACGAUCGAUCCUAUUUUGCUGGUUUCUAGGAUUGACGUAAUGAUUAAUAGGGAUAGUUGGGGGCAUUAGUAUUCAAUUGUCAGAGGUGAAAUUCUUGGAUUUAUUGAAGACUAACUACUGCGAAAGCAUUUGCCAAGGAUGUUUUCAUUAAUCAAGAACGAAAGUUAGGGGAUCGAAGACGAUCAGAUACCGUCGUAGUCUUAACCAUAAACUAUGCCGACUAGGGAUCGGAUGAUGUUAAUUUUUUAAUGACUCAUUCGGCGCCUUACGGGAAA
rnacentral:rRNA from 1 species